rnacentral:tRNA from 1 species
UGCAGGGUGGAGAAGAAGCAUCUCACCUGGCUCAUAACCAGGAGGCCGUCGGUGCAAGUCCGGCCCCUGCGACCU